rnacentral:rRNA from 1 species
AUUGAACGCUGGCGGCAGGCCUAACACAUGCAAGUCGAGCGAGCGGCGGACGGGUGAGUAAUGUCUGGGAAACUGCCUGAUGGAGGGGGAUAACUACUGGAAACGGUAGCUAAUACCGCAUACCAUCAGAUGUGCCCAGAUGGGAUUAGCGAGGAGGUGGGGUAACGGCUCACCUAGGCGACGAUCCCUCGCUGGUCUGAGAGGAUGACCAGCCACAUGUGAACUGAGACCAGGGCCAGACUCCUACGGGAGGCAGCAGGGGGGAAUAUUGCACAAUGGGCGCAAGCCUGAUGCAGCCAUGCGGCGGUUGUGAAGAAGGCCUUCGGGUUGUAAAGCACUUUCAGCGGGGAGGCGUUACCCGCAGAAGAAGCACCGGCUAACUCCGUGCCAGCAGCCGCGGUAAUUC